AGGCUAUUCUUUACCAGAAGCUUGGUCAGGAAGCACUGGUCCUCCAAAUUUUGGCAUUAAAGCUAGAGGACUGUGAAGCUACAGAACAGUAUUGUGCAAAUGUUGGUAGACCAGAUGCAUAUAUGCAGUUGCUUGAUAUGUAUUUGGAUCCCAUAAAUGGGAAAGAGCCCAUGUUUGCAGCUGCUGUUCGCCUUCUACACAACCAUGGAGAAAUGCUGGAUCCAUUAUAUACACAUUACA